rnacentral:rRNA from 1 species
UACGUAGGGUGCGAGCGUUGUCCGGAAUUAUUGGGCGUAAAGGGCGCGUAGGCGGCCAUGCGUGUCUUCCGUGAAAUCCCUCGGCUUAACUGAGGACGUGCGGAAGAAACUGCAAGGCUCGAGUCCGGGAGAGGGGGGUGGAAUUCCCAGUGUAGCGGUGAAAUGCGCAGAUAUCAGGAAGAACACCAAUGGCGAAGGCAGCUCUCUGGGACGGUACUGACGCUGAGACGCGAAAGCGUGGGGAGCGAACAGG